rnacentral:rRNA from 1 species
AGGACGAACGCUGGCGGCGUGCUUAACACAUGCAAGUCGAACGGAAAGGCCCUUCGGGGUACGUCGAGUGGCGAACGGGUGAGUAACACGUGGGUGAUCUGCCCUGCACUUUGGGAUAAGCCUGGGAAACUGGGUCUAAUACCGAAUAGGACCACGGGAUGCAUGUCCUGUGGUGGAAAGCUUUUGCGGUGUGGGAUGGGCCCGCGGCCUAUCAGCUUGUUGGUGGGGUGAUGGCCUACCAAGGCGACGACGGGUA